CCUGGGAGUAACUGGCAAAUUCUUGGCCUGGGAGAAGCGGCUCAACCGUGAUUAUAGGAAGAGGGCUGGCCAGCAGGCAUGAUCUUGAACCCCACUAAGCUCCAGUGCCUUAACAUCGGUCAGGGAGCCUGCAUCCAUUCUGACUAAGUCAAUGCUAAUUUAAGGAAGAUGAAACUGGGCACUUCACAAGACUCAGAGGGGUUUGCCUCCUCAACAGCUAGGACGAUGUCAACAGAGAGCUGCAGAUCAUCAGAAAGGGAGCAAUAGGGUUCAAGUUUUCCAUUGACUACAAACUCCAGGACUUUCAAAGUUUAAAUGUGAUCACAUACACCAUUCCAGAUCUGUGUUUUCCUAAUGUACAGAAUAAAUAGGCCCUUGGGCCUCCUAUGGAAGGG
rnacentral:lncRNA from 1 species